GUACACAGACACUCACAAGACUGAAUAGCAUAUCCACAGGGUUAACAUUAUUGUUGAAACACACAAGUUGUUAAUGAGAGAGUAACAUAUUGGUACACAGACACUCACAAGACUGAAUAGCAUAUCCACAGGGUUAACAUUAUUGUUGAAACACACACAUUCGCACACAAUUCUUACCAAUGACGAAGACAGGCAUGAAGGCUCCACAGGGCACAGGCAUGGUCAUGGCCAGAGCAGACAUCCAGAACUGAGACAGACAGAGACAGAGUCAGACAGGGAACAGUGUGGCAUUUCAAUUAGGGAACAGGACAAUCUUUAAUUUAAAGAGAUGUUACCAGAAGUUUUGGAAACUUUUUUGAUAGUUUUUCUGAAAGUAGUGCAUAUGCGCCAAAAGUGGUCCCCGAAAAUCACGUACGGUGUCACAUACAGUUGAAUUCGAAAGUUUACAUACACUUAUGUUGGAGUCAUUAAAACUAGUUUUUCAACCACUCCACAAAUUUCUUGUUAAUAAACUAUAGUUUUGGCAAAUCGGUUAGGACAUCUACUUUGUUAGUGACACAAGUAAUUUUUCCAACAAUCGUUUACAGACAGAUUUAUUCACUUAUAAUUCACUAUAUCACAAUUCCAGUGGGUCAGAAGUUUACAUACACUAAGUUGACCGUGCAUUUAAACAGCUUGGAAAAUUCCAGACAAUUAUGUCAUGGAUUUAGAAGCUUCUGAUAAGCUAAUUGACAGCAUUUAAGUCAAUUGGAGGUGUACCUGUGGAUGUAUUUCAAGGCCUACCUUCAAACUCAGUGCCUCUUUGCUUGACAUCAUGGGAAAAUCAAAAGAAAUCAGCCAAGACCUCAGAAAAAAAUAAUAGACCUCCACAAGUCUGGUUCAUCCUUGGGAGCAAUUUCCAAACGCCUGAAGGUACCACGUUCAUCUGUACAAACAAUAGUUCGCAAGUAUAAACACCAUGGGACCACGCAGCCGUCAAACCGCUCAGAAAGGAGAGGCGUUCUCUCGCCUAGAGAUGAACGUACUUUGUUGCGAAAAGUGCAAAUCAAUCGCAGAACCUGUGAAGAUGCUGGAGGAAACAGGUACAAAAGUACCUAUAUCCACAGUUAAACGAGUCCUAUAUCGUCAUAACCUGAAAGGCCGCUCAGCAAGGAAGAAGCCACUGCUCCAAAACCGCCAUAAAAAAGGCAGACUACGGUUUACAACUACACAUGGGGACAAAGAUCGUACUUUUUGGAGAAAUGUCCUCUGGUCUGAUGAAACAAAAAUAGAACUGCUUGGCCAUAAUGACUAUCGUUGUGUUUGGAGGAAAAAGGGGGAGGAUUGUAAGCCGAAGAACACCAUCCCAACGGUGAAGCACGGGGAGUGGCAGCAUCAUGUUGUGGGGGUGCUUUGCUGCAGGAGGGACUGGUGCACUUCACAAAAUAGAUGGCAUCAUGAGGAAAGAAAAUUAUGUGGAUAUAUUGAAGCAACAUCUCAAGACAUCAGUCAGGAAGUUAAAGCUUGGUUGCAAAUGGGUCAUCCAAAUGGACAAUGACCUCAAGCAUACUUCCAAAGUUGUGGCAAAAUGGCUAAGGACAACAAAGCCAAGGUAUUGGAGUGGCCAUCACAAAGCUCUGACCUCAAUCCUAUAGAAAAAUUGUGGGCAGAAUUGAAAAAGCGUGUGUGAGCAAGGAGGCCUACAAACCUGACUCAGUUACACCAGCUCUGUCAGGAGGAAUGGGCCAAAAUUCACCCAACUUAUUGUGGGAAGCUUGUGGAAGGCUACCUGAAACGUUUGACUCAAGUUAAACAAUUUAAAAGCAAUGCUACCAAAUACUAAUUGAGUGUAUGUAAACUUCUGACCCACUGGUAAUGUGAAGAAAGAAAAGCUGAAAUAAAUUGUUCUCUCUACUAUUAUUCUGACAUUUCACAUUCUUAAAAUAAAGUGGUGAUCCUAACUGACCUAAGACAGGGAAUUUGUACUAAGAUUAAAUGUCAGGAGUUGUGAAAAACUGAGUUUAAAUGUAUUUGGCUAAGGUGUAUGUACACUUCCGACUUCAACUGUAUUUGCAGAUAUGUGCACUACGUCAUAAGUCUUUUUCUUUGUCUGAUGUGUGUACAUGUGCAUGGAAUUUGCACUGAGCCAUUGGGCCCACCCUUCAACCUCAUUGGGUAACGCUUGGUAGGCAUGGGCCAGCCUUUUUCUUUCACUGUGCAACCUCAUUAGACCUGAUCACAUGAUUGUGCCUUCUCCGGAAAAAAAUGUCAUGCACGUAGCUCUCUUUCUCUCACUCACUCACUCAAGCCGGCCAUAGAUUGGAACUGGCCUACCUGGUUAAAUAAAGCUGAAAUAAAAUAAAUGUAAAGAGGUAGCUUAAUCCAGCCAUAACUCUGCUAAUAAUGUAGCUAAAAUGCUAUUAAUAAUGUAGCUAGAAUGCUAUUAAUAAUUAAUACUUUUAAUGAUGUCAGGCCCGAAAGAUAACUAUAUCUAGAUAUUGAAUUAUAGGGUCGUUCAGGAAAGACAAAGGCAGAAAAAUGAUGGAUACCGGAUGUUUUUCCGAGAUGGCCUCAAGGAUGAGAAACCUUGUUGCCUCAUCCAUAAAAGUAAUCUUCGGUCGAAAGGUAAGAGACUAAGCUUUAGCAUUAGCUAGGCUAGUCAACAGUUUGUGUAGCAUGCUUUUAAAGCUAACGUAGAUAGCUAGCAUUCAUGGUAAAUGCAUCAUACUGUCCAUCUAGCCAACUGAAACCUGUUUCAAAAUGGGAAAUCGCUCUACUAAUAUCUGUAUGUUGUGUAUUUUUGUAGCUGCAUAGAAUCUCUUAUUGCCUGGCUAAAAUGGUGACAUAGAUGUUUGUAACUACCAGUGUCUAGCUAGCUGGCUAGGCUAUGUUUACAACUGGUUGUCUUUAACUAUAUGAAACAGUAGUAAAGGGUGUCAAGGACCUGAAUUCAACAGUGUGGAAGAUGCUACAUUGCAUUAUGUCAAACAUGCUUGCCAUCGCCACAACCUGGACUGGUGCAGGGGAUAAGCCUGUUCUAAAGACUAUGCUUCACAGAGCCAUUAGAAAGAACCCUGCAACCCGGGAUGCCAUGGACGAUGGGUCCAGAUUCAAGUCACCCUUUACCUGAAAGGGGCGUCCGAUUGAAGGCGGGAGAAGGCGGUGCACAGGGGAGAGGGAUCCGCUGCAGUGAGGAUUCAACAUCAAGUCUCGGACCACCUAUCUCAAAACCAGCCCACUUUAGUCUUACGGACCAAUGCAAUAGUUAUGUCACCUAACUCCACUAUGUAGAUAUACUUUAAUUAUAAUUCUAUGCUGCUACUGCACUGUAGUUAUUCCACUCUAUGCACAAACAAUGUCCAUACUACAUGCAUAUAGGUCUUUUCUUCUUCUUUUUUGUGUACUUUUACAAUGUCACUUAUUUUAUUCCUUUACUAUGUCACUUUGAAUACUAUGUCACUUUUGUUGCGAUUGCACUGUGUGAUUUCACUGGAUGUAUUUGUUGUCACCUGUUGAUCCAGGGAACAUGGACUGGCACUCUUCAUCUGAUCUUUUACGCACACAUAAUCAUUUACAGUUGUUGUACAUACUUAUUUUAAAUCACAAAACGUUUUUUAAAUGGACAUGGCAUCCAAUGUCUUAAAUAAGACAAAUAUAUAAAUAUAUUUUAAAAAUACUGGAAAAAUGUACGCACGCCACUGGGGUUACAGCAUGUCACUGAAUUUCAAUAUAAAUCCUUUGUCAUAUCUUGUGCAUAUAUUUUUUGACAGUAAAGAACCCGAUUGUGAACUGGG